rnacentral:lncRNA from 1 species
CGUCCGCAUGCGGCAGCGUGUGGCCCAACGUGCAAACAUGCUGGUGCACGUGCACAAGGUGCGCGGCCCAUGCCCAUGCACAUGCGUGGGCUGGCCCAAUGCAUGUGAGGCGGCUAGGCCCAGCGCCCCUGCACGAUCCAUUGUGGACCGCGGGGUGCUGGCGGUCCAUGGGAAUCAUGUGGACCAAAGUGGCAGUCCACAGGUGGUUCAGGUGGUUUUCUGUGCGAUCUGACGGUCCAUAUCGCAGUCGGUCAUGAUUGGAUGGCUGAGAGUGUUUUCGAGCUUGAUCAGGUGAUUAAUGGCCCUAUUUUACAUGAUCGGAUGGUUCUGGUGCGAGCCGA